AGAGUUUGAUCCUGGCUCAGAGUGAACGCUGGCGGUAUGCUUAACACAUGCAAGUCGAACGGAUUCUGGCAGAGUAUCGUCGGAAUUAGUGGCAGACGGGUGAGUAAUGCAUGGACAACUUCCCUUCAAGAUUGGGAUAACCCACCGAAAGGUGAGCUAAUACCAUAUAAGAUCACGAUUCGAUUAAUCAUCGAAAUGAGAUUAAAGCUAUUCGAAAGAAAGGUGCUUGAGGAAAGGUCCAUGUCCUAUCAGCUUGUUGGUGAGGUAAUGGCUCACCAAAGCUAUGACGGGUAGUCGGCCUGAAAGGGUGAUCGACCACAUUGGCACUGAGACACGGGCCAAACUCCUACGGGAGGCAGCAGUGGGGAAUUUUGGACAAUGGGCGCAAGCCUGAUCCAGCAAUACCGCGUGAAGGACGAAGGUCUUCGGAUUGUAAACUUCUUUUGUUUUGGAAAAAACUCCCGGUGAUGAGCCGGGACUGAUUGUACAGAACGAAUAAGCCACGGCAAACUACGUGCCAGCAGCCGCGGUAAUACGUAUGUGGCAAGCGUUACUCGGAAUCACUAGGCGUAAAGCGCAGGUAGGUGGCAUAUUAAGUCUUUUGUGAAAGCUCCCGGCUUAACCGGGAGAGGCCAAUGGAAACUGGUAGGCUAGAGUGUGGGAGAGGGAACUGGAAUUCCCGGUGUAGCGGUGAAAUGCGUAGAUAUCGGGAGGAAUACCAAUGGCGAAAGCAAGUUCCUGGACCAAUACUGACACUAAUCUGCGAAAGCUGGGGGAGCAAACAGGAUUAGAUACCCUGGUAGUCCCAGCUGUAAACGAUGCUCACUAGGUGUGGGAGGUACCGACCCCUUCUGCGCCGACGCUAACGCAUUAAGUGAGCCGCCUGGGGAGUACGGCCGCAAGGUUGAAACUCAAAGGAAUUGACGGGGGCCCGCACAAGCGGUGGAGCAUGUGGUUUAAUUCGACACAACGCGAAGAACCUUACCUGGGCUUGAACUGUUGGAAGUAAGAUCCUGGAAACAGGAGAUGACCUGUAAAGUCAGGAGCCAAUAGAGGUGCUGCAUGGUUGUCGUCAGCUCGUGUCGUGAGAUGUUGGGUUAAGUCCCGCAACGAGCGCAACCCCUGUUCCAUGUUGCUAAUCCCGCAAGGGAUGCACUCUUGGGAGACUGCCUCGGAUAACGGGGAGGAAGGCGGGGACGACGUCAAAUCCUCAUGGCCUUUAUGUCCAGGGCUACACACGUGCUACAAUGGCUAGUACAAAGGGAAGCAAUGCCGUAAGGUGGAGCAAAUCCCCUAAAGCUAGCCCCAGUUCGGAUUGUGGGCUGCAAUUCGCCCACAUGAAGUCGGAAUCGCUAGUAAUCGUAGAUCAGCAGGCUACGGUGAAUACGUUCCCGGGCCUUGUACACACCGCCCGUCACACCACGAAAGCUCGUUGCAACAGAAGUCCUGUUUUUACAGGCCCAAGUUGUGGCUAGUGAUUGGGGUGAAGUCGUAACAAGGUAGCCGUAC
rnacentral:rRNA from 1 species